rnacentral:tRNA from 1 species
GCUUUUAUAAUUUAAUUAAAAUAUUGGUUUUGUAAACCAAACAUAAGUUUACCUUUAAAGGCA